rnacentral:rRNA from 1 species
GAUGAACGCUAGCGGCAGGCUUAACACAUGCAAGUCGAGGGGCAGCGGGAGGAGUGCUUGCACUUCUUGCCGGCGACCGGCGCACGGGUGAGUAACACGUAUGCAACCUGCCUCCGUCAGGGGGACAACCCGGCGAAAGCCGGGCUAAUCCCGCGUAUAUUCCGUGAGGGCAUCCUUACGGAAGGAAAGGUUUCGGCCGGACGGGGAUGGGCAUGCGGCGCAUUAGGUAGUCGGGGGUGUAACGGACCACCGAGUCGACGAUGCGUAGGGGUUCUGAGAGGAAGGUCCCCACAUUGGUACUGAGACACGGACCAAACUCCUACGGGAGGCAGCAGUGAGGAAUAUUGGUCAAUGGGCGAGAGCCUGAACCAGCCAAGUCGCGUGAAGGAUGAAGGAUCUAUGGUUUGUAAACUUCUUUUAUACGGGAAUAAAGUGUGGUACGUGUACCAUUUUGUAUGUACCGUAUGAAUAAGCAUCGGCUAAACUCCGUG